rnacentral:rRNA from 1 species
AUGUGUUAAGUCCCGCAACGAGCGCAACCCCUAUUGUUAGUUGCCAUCAUUCAGUUGGGCACUCUAGCGAGACUGCCGGUAAUAAACCGGAGGAAGGUGGGGAUGACGUCAAAUCAUCAUGCCCCUUAUGACCUGGGCUACACACGUGCUACAAUGGUUGGUACAACGAGUUGCGAGUCGGUGACGGCGAGCUAAUCUCUUAAAGCCAAUCUCAGUUCGGAUUGUAGGCUGCAACUCGCCUACAUGAAGUCGGAAUCGCUAGUAAUCGCGGAUCAGCACGCCGCGGUGAAUACGUUCCCGGGCCUU